UACGUAGGGGGCAAGCGUUGUCCGGAUUUAUUGGGCGUAAAGAGCUCGUAGGUGGUUCGGUAAGUCGGAUGUGAAAUCUCCAGGCUCAACCUGGAGGGGUCAUUCGAUACUGCCGUGACUAGAGUUCGGUAGGGGAGUGUGGAAUUCCUGGUGGAGCGGUGAAAUGCGCAGAUAUCAGGAGGAACACCGGUGGCGAAGGCGGGUCUCUGGGCCGAUAUCGACGCUGAGGAGCGAAAGCGUGGGGAGCGAACAGG
rnacentral:rRNA from 1 species